GCCCGCUUAACUUUGCAAGUCGACCGAUGAAGUUCCUUCGGGGAUGGAUUAGCGGCGGACGGGUGAGUAACACGUGGGCAACCUACCUCAAAGUAUGGGAUAGCCUUCCGAAAGGGAGAUUAAUACCGUAUAACAUUAGUUUUUCACAUGGAGGACUAAUUAAAGGAGUAAUCCGCUUUGAGAUGGGCCCGCGGCGCAUUAGCUAGUUGGUGAGGUAACGGCUCACCAAGGCAACGAUGCGUAGCCGACCUGAGAGGGUGAUCGGCCACAUUGGAACUGAGACACGGUCCAGACUCCUACGGGAGGCAGCAGUGGGGAAUAUUGCACAAUGGGCGAAAGCCUGAUGCAGCAACGCCGCGUGAGUGGUGACGGUCUUCGGAUUGUAAAACUCUGUCUUCAGGGACGAUAAUGACGGUACCUGAGGAGGAAGCCACGGCUAACUACGUGCCAGCAGCCGCGGUAAUACGUAGGUGGCAAGCGUUGUCCGGAUUUACUGGGCCGUAAGGGAGCGUAGGUGGAUAUUUAAGUGGGAUGUGAAAUACUCGGGCUU
rnacentral:rRNA from 1 species